UACGUAGGGUGCAAGCGUUGUCCGGAAUUAUUGGGCGUAAAGAGCUCGUAGGCGGUCUGUUGCGUCGGCUGUGAAAACCCGGGGCUCAACUCCGGGCCUGCAGCCGAUACGGGCAGACUAGAGUUCGGCAGGGGAGACUGGAAUUCCUGGUGUAGCGGUGAAAUGCGCAGAUAUCAGGAGGAAUACCGGUGGCGAAGGCGGGUCUCUGGGCCGAUACUGACGCUGAGGAGCGAAAGCGUGGGGAGCGAACAGG
rnacentral:rRNA from 1 species